AUGGCCAUCCCUGGCCCCAAUAAACGGUGGAAUUGGAAGCACCACCGCCAUUGCACCCCUUGCCACCGCCAGAGACCCGACACCGGCCAUGGAUUCGAUGCUAGAUUGAUGCAUGGUGUGAUAUUGAUUGCUAGGUUCUUUCUUUGCUUUUGCAAUGCGCAAUUGAAUGAUGAUGUAGUGGAUUUCAUGGUGGUGCCGACCGUGAUGGUGCGAGUGCAUGAGGCCCAUGUGAACUAUGAUGUCUUUUGGUCCACCACAUGUGGUGGUAUUUUGGAAUGA
rnacentral:rRNA from 1 species